GACGUAGGAGGCGAGCGUUGUCCGGAUUCAUUGGGCGUAAAGAGCGCGCAGGCGGCUUGGUAAGUCGGAUGUGAAAACCCGUGGCUCAACCACGGGCCUGCAUCCGAUACUGGCGGGCUCGAGGCAGGCAGGGGAGAUCGGAAUUCCUGGUGUAGCGGUGAAAUGCGCAGAUAUCAGGAGGAACUCCGAUGGCGAAGGCAAGGUGCUGGACCCUCUCUGACGCUGAGGCGCGAAAGCCAGGGGAGCGAACGGG
rnacentral:rRNA from 1 species